rnacentral:rRNA from 1 species
AUUGAACGCUGGCGGCAGGCCUAACACAUGCAAGUCGAGCGGAUGAAGGGAGCUUGCUCCUGGAUUCAGCGGCGGACGGGUGAGUAAUGCCUAGGAAUCUGCCUUGUAUUUGGGGAUAACGUCCGGAAACGGGCGCUAAUACCGCAUACGUCCUGAGGGUGAACGUGGGGGAUCUUCGGACCUCACGCUAUCAGAUGAGCCUAGGUCGGAUUAGCUAGUUGGUGGGGUAAGGGCCUACCAAGGCGACGAUCCGUAACUGGUCUGAGAGGAUGAUCAGUCACACUGGAACUGAGACACGGUCCAGACUCCUACGGGAGGCAGCAGUGGGGAAUAUUGGGCAAUGGGCGAAAGCCUGAUCCAGCCAUGCCGCGUGUGUGAAGAAGGUCUUCGGAUUGUAAAGCACUUUAAGUUGGGAGGAAGGGCAGUAAGUUAAUACCUUGCUGUUUUGACGUUACCAACAGAAUAAGCACCGGCUAACUUCGUG